GGGUUGCCAUGGCGCAGUCUGAUGCAGCAACGCCGCGUGAGUGAGAAGGCCUUCGGGUCGUAAAGCUCUGUCCUAUGGGAAGAACAUGUGACGGUACCAUGGGAAGAGGCCCCGGCUAACUACGUGCCAGCAGCCGCGGUAAUAGCGUGAGGGGGCAA
rnacentral:rRNA from 1 species